rnacentral:tRNA from 1 species
UGAUCGGCGGCUGGGGCUAUGCGCUCGUCCGCUCGGGGCGGGUGUCGGUCGCUGCCUGGUCUCGACAGGCUCGACCAUC